UUCUCUGUCGCGCUCUCCCUCUCUAUGUGUGUUUGCUUUUUUUACGAGCAGCGAAUCCGUCCUGAGUUUUCAAGCGAAAGUUGCAUGGAGACACACCGCGUGACGCGUAUAAUAAAGAGGAUGGUGAGCGACAUAGAGGAAAAUGGAGAGCGGGAACAACUCGUGCCAAGACAGACCAUGACCGAUCUUAAGCGAACAUUUAUGAAAUGUUUAGCCAUAAGAGAGAGAGGCAUUGAAGCAGUUUGUUUGAAUAAUAAUAAAAAUACUGCAGCGAUGCAACGGAGACAAGUCGGAGCCCUUGCAUGGAGUUGGAUAGGCAAAAUUAAUGUACAUUACAUGCACUCCACGUAACGCUCCUGAACGAUGUCUUUGUGAGUGUUUUUUUUUUUUUUUUCCUUACUGGGCGCUAAAAAUAGCAUCAGUGUUUGAUCGUGGUCCAGAAAUAGGCAGAGGGUAUCACUUGUAUAAAAAGGACUGCGAUUUUGAGAAAACUUGGACGUGUUGCUGAGGAUAGAUAUGAAUCAAGGGCAGUAUGUGAUUUGUAUCAUGUUGUUUUUCUGUAAUGUGGUCACGAUUGACUGAAUCUAUACUCAUUUAUAUGUUUUCCCUGCUUUCAGCAAGGGCUUGCGGCACUGGCUAGGGCGAACAAACGUGAGGGAUCCAUCGCCUAACGGACGGAAGUCGAAAUGAAUGACUGAAGUUGUCGGUCCAGCUUGACCGUGACGUCACUGCCUUUAAAAUCUUCUGAUGACAGGAUUUCAAGGCAAAAGAGAGAUGAGGGGCUCAACUGAGUAUGUUCCUCAAGGAUUGAGCCAGACAGUUAACAGGAAUCAAAGCUGACAUAAAGGAAAAGGAUGGAGUCAACCAACAUAAGAGCAUAAAAAAGGCCUCGUCUGAUCCAGGACAUUCACAUGAGAGAGGAAGAAAUAAGAAGGAUCAAAACCUGGGAAAACGUGUAUCUUGAAGGUGCACAAGAUCAAAGUCAUAUCAGCACCUUUAAUUCUGCUUUACACCUGUUAAUGGAUAUUCAGCAAUUUGAUUACAUUGUAGGAGCACAAUAACACCUUCAGGUAUUUAAAAUCUCUGUUUGUUAAGGACUUUGGGUAUCUUGUAUUAGCCAGAUAUUGCUAACAUUGUCAAUUCCAGAUGUAUUCAAUUUUCCGUUGUGUAAAAAUGUAGAGCUAAGGCAUUUUUUUUUUAGGAACAGAAAAGCGAUAACAUAGUUUUUAUGGUAAAAUAAAUAAAUAAAUGUACAAAUAAAAUGGUGUACAUUGAAAUUGUGUUGAACCGAGGAUCAAGUGAUCGCUUAUGUGUACAGAGAGGGAAAGGAACCGUCUGCUUCUUUAGAAAUGUAAGAAAAUUAGGGACGCACCACAAAUGCCUUUUUUUUACCUCGUGGAGCUUUAUAAUUGUAAGGGUGGCAUAUUUCUGGAAUCUUAAUAGUUUGCUAAAAGUUGUUUGAAGGCUGUUGUAGCAAGCUGAAGACGGCAGACAUAGCAGAUGUCGCUGUCCACUGUGUGUGGUGCUGAGAUGUGCGCAAAACUAGCUUAUAACAACUUCUAUUGAACAAAGCUGUUUCUAUACAUGCUCUCACUGUAUAUGUGUGGUGUAUUGUAUAAGUAUAAUAAAGUCUGAAUUAGCUUAGUGUUCAAGGAUGACGUUAAGCUGUGCAAAGCUCUUACAAAAAUAAUGACAUGGUCUUAGAAUAACCGGGUGGUACACUUCUAAUAACCAUCUUAUUUAAAUUAUCAUAGGGUCAUAAUGGGCUGAGUAAUGCAAAAAAAGGGGGAACAUUUUUUUUAUAUAUGAAACAAUAAAGAUCAGAGGUGUCAAGCUCAUCUUAAGAGAAUGUCUGAGAAAGGUCAGUCAGUGUUGAGGACGAUAAACAGGAAUAUAUAAUAGGACGAGUGUGUUAAAAGUGAGAGUGACUCAGAAGGUGUGUGUUUUUGUGAGUAAGAAAGAGUGUGUGUCUGUGAAGGAAAUAAUGUUGAAAAUUGUAUGUAUUAUGGUUUGUUAGCACAAAGGUAGUACAAUUUAAAUAAAAUAAUCCAGAUUUCAUCAAAGUAUUAUAAUUGCAUAAUAUUGCCUACUAUGGUUCAAACAUUGUUAUUUGUAGCGCUCUGUAUAUAUCAGAUAAAUUUAGCUCCACGUGUCUUAUUUUUAUGACAUACUCUUUUUUUCUGCUUUGAUGUUUUUGUACUUAAUGAUAUGCUAAAAAGUUGAUGUGUAAUAGUUUGUGGUGUACUGAGCAAAUUAAAUCAGGGCUGAUUUAAAUCAUGCAGUGUGUACUGUAAGAAUGUUCUGCACUUUUAUGUAGUUCUGUGUAUUUUAUGUAUUGUGCAAUGCAGGGACACCAAGAAAAAAAAGAAAUAAUGAAUUAACUGUUUAAAUCUGACAAAUUGUCUCGUUAUUUCACAACAUGAAAUAUGUAACUAAAUGGUAUCAGUGGCAAAGUGGGUGUACAUUGCUUAAUAUGAAUGCUGGAAGUUUGUUGUUCUCGUGUAUUCUUGACUGAACUCUGAAUUACAGUAUUAUUUUAUAAAAACGGCUUUCUUUCUUUCUUCACUGACUAUGUUAGUGCAAAUAAAAUGUU